rnacentral:rRNA from 1 species
AUGGAAUCAUUUCUGCCGAAUGUGACAUUCAGAAGAGAUUUUAUUGGACCCAGACUACAAUCGUGGAACAUUCUGCUUCAGCGAUUGUCCACGGUGCAAUUGUCACAUGGAUCUGAUGUAUUCCGAUGGAACCUCCAUGGGAAUGGACAAUUCUCAGCGGAGUCUAUGUAUAGAGCAUUAAUCCAGUCUGAUGUGCCAGCUGAUAAUAACAAGAAGAUCUGGAAGAUGAAGAUACCUCUUAAGAAUAAAAUCUUUGCAUGGUAUCUUCGUCGUGGAGUCAUUCUUACUAAAGAUAACCUUAUUAAGAGGAAUUGGCAUGGAAGUCCACAAUGUGUCUUUUGUCACCAUGAGGAGACAAUAAAACAUUUAUUCUUCCAAUGCAAAUUAGCUCGUUCUAUAUGGUCAGUCAUCCAAAUAGCUUUUUGUCUUGUAUCCUCCUUCUAG